rnacentral:rRNA from 1 species
AGAGUUUGAUCCUGGCUCAGAUUGAACGCUGGCGGCAGGCCUAACACAUGCAAGUCGAACGGUAACAGGAAGAAGCUUGCUUCUUUGCUGACGAGUGGCGGACGGGUGAGUAAUGUCUGGGAAACUGCCUGAUGGAGGGGGAUAACUACUGGAAACGGUAGCUAAUACCGCAUAACGUCGCAAGACCAAAGAGGGGGACCUUCGGGCCUCUUGCCCAUCGGAUGUGCCCAGAUGGGAUUAGCUUGUUGGUGGGGUAACGGCUCACCAAGGCGACGAUCCCUAGCUGGUCUGAGAGGAUGACCAGCCACACUGGAACUGAGACACGGUCCAGACUCCUACGGGAGGCAGCAGUGGGGAAUAUUGCACAAUGGGCGCAAGCCUGAUGCAGCCAUGCCGCGUGUAUGAAGAAGGCCUUCGGGUUGUAAAGUACUUUCAGCGGGGAGGAAGGGAGUAAAGUUAAUACCUUUGCUCAUUGACGUUACCCGCAGAAGAAGCACCGGCUAACUCCGUGCCAGCAGCCGCGGUAAUACGGAGGGUGCAAGCGUUAAUCGGAAUUACUGGGCGUAAAGCGCACGCAGGCGGUUUGUUAAGUCAGAUGUGAAAUCCCCGGGCUCAACCUGGGAACUGCAUCUGAUACUGGCAAGCUUGAGUCUCGUAGAGGGGGGUAGAAUUCCAGGUGUAGCGGUGAAAUGCGUAGAGAUCUGGAGGAAUACCGGUGGCGAAGGCGGCCCCCUGGACGAAGACUGACGCUCAGGCCCGAAAGCGUGGGGAGCAUAUCAAGGGUAGAUACCCUGGUAGUCCACGCCGUAAAC